rnacentral:lncRNA from 1 species
GGUGUCCUUCCCACCACCAUCACUGCUGCUGUCUGAGGGGCAGCUGGAAACUGGCAUGUUUGUGAAGUUAAAAUACAUGAAAGGAAGUUGAAAGAAGAAGUUGUCUCGAAGUGGGCCAGCAUCCAGGGCUCCUGAGAAGCCACUUUUUCACUGGACUCUGAUCAAUGGGGCCUUGGCCCGCCUGACUGGGUGGUUCCUCCUCUGCCAAGAGAGAAGUAUGUUUCCCCCAUUCCGGAACUCAACGCUUUCUUAGGAGAUGAACAGAAUUCACCUUAUUGUUCUAAAAACAGAGUCCCAGGCAACAGGGACAGAGAGACUGGCCCAGCAGGGGCUCUCUGGGCCAACUGAGCAAGGUGACAGGGCCCAGGAAAGGAGCUGUUGCCUGCACAAGGGCAGAUGGAGUCAAGGAAUCAGUGUUCAUGGGAUCCUGGCUGUCCCCACAGUGUCGUGGCUGAACCUUACAAGAACAGAAGCAAGUGAAGCACAGUCUCUGUGCCCAGAAUCACUGUCUGCCAGGCUCUGGCCAACCUGUAGCCUCUCCGUGCUGAAAACGACCCGCUAAAAAAGCCAAGAGGGAAGGACCCAGCACACAGCCGUGAACCACAUAUACACGAAGAGGGCCUAAAGUGAAAAAGAUAAACUUUAAAUCAAACGGAAACUUUUUCCAGCAACUUCCACUCUUGUGAUACUGAACUGAACUGAAGCAGAAGAUUUUAAGAGUUGCCUGAAUCCUUUGGACCUGCUUAUUGGCUUAAAAAGUCUAAUUGUGAAAUUGACUUAAAAAUUCCUAAUUGUGAAAGAAGGGGUCUCUUCUUUGGCAUGGCACUCUCACUAACAAUUUUCUUGGUAAGAGGACCCAACAAACAGCAAUAGAAAUAGAAAACUAUGGAUUGCUAGGUGAGAGUAUUUUUUAACCUGCUUCAAUCUACAACUGCAAAAUGAACUGGCCCAAUUUAAUUAGAAAAAUUUCAGUUUCUGACCACUGAUCUACAUUACUGAAAGGUUACAUGUGAAAUAAAUGUGGGGUGUGUGUGUGUGUUUGUGUCUGAAAUUGAAUCAUUUUCUAACUCAUUCACUAUAAAAAAGAAAUAGACGGGAUCAUUUGAACUCUGCCUUUGCAAUUUAUCAUCUUCGUGAUCUUAGACAAUCUCUUAAUUUCUCUAAGCUUCCACUUUCUCCUCUAAAAUGGAGUUGAACUCAAAGGGCUGACCUAAAGUUUACAUAAAAUGAGAAAAUGUAAGGUACUGGGGCUGAUACAUAGACAGUAUUCAAUAAAGCUUUAUG